rnacentral:tRNA from 1 species
GGUAAAAUGGCUGAAUAUCUAGGUAAUAAACUGUAAAUUUAUUUAUGAAAGUUAAUUUCUUUUACCA